UUAUACAUAAACAUUAUUAGAAUACACAAAGUUGGUCAAAAAAACAUUUUUUUAUUGAAAAUAUUUCUUUUUGACUAUGCAUUUUUAUUUUAAUUUUAUUAAAGAUACCUAAUAUAUUGAAUCUAUGGCUCCUCUGCUCUCUAAGGAGAAGAGAGAAUACCAUUUUAAAAGAAAUCAUAUACUUUUUCAAAAGAUCAUUUGCUGUUGCUGCCUUGAAAAGAUCAACAAAUGCAUUCCAGUUAAUAAUAAUUUGGAAGGUCUGGUAAAAGUUUUCUGUAAGCCUGAGUUUUCACUUAAAGUAUUUGCCUACCCUACAAGAUUAUGCCCAGGUUGCAAGAAAAACUUAUAUCUCUGUAAGGCUGGUAAAACUAUUGCAGACAAAGUUACUUUAAAAUGGAAAAAUUCUGAUUUGUCUUGCAAACCUCUAGAGGUUGCUCGAUAUUAUGCAGUAUAUGCAGUCAAGGAAGAAAUAAAUUAUUAAAUAAAAGUAUGAAAAAGGGAACUAGCUCAACACUGAAACUUUGCCAAAUAUGUUUCUGUGAAAUUGCUAAAGGUAAACCCCACAAAUGUUCCUCUUUAAAGAGUAGCACAAAUCUUUCUGAGAGUAUUUCUAAAAUUUCUAAAAAAGUAAAAGAAGAAGAAGGGAAGAAGUAGCUUCUUCCCUUCUUAAAGAAAUUUAUUCUGAUCAAGAGCGAAGUCUAGAAGCUCAAGCCAUUCUCAGAACAGGUAAAUAGCUUUUAUGUACGUUCUUAAAAUAAUAAUUUAUAUUACCUUAUGGAGGUAAAAGUAUUCAUAUUACACUCGGUACUCGGGAAAGUGACCAGAGAAAGAUUCCUUGUAAUGAAGUAGAAGUUUUGGUAAAUACCUUAGGACUUAGUCAAUUGCAGUCAAAUGAAAUGUUAAAAACUUUGAGGAGAAGUGGUGUAAAGUUUAAGUCAAACAUGGAGAAAGCCCUGGAUGAAAAAAGUAAACUACUUUCCAACUUUUAUGUCACUGAAUUAUUAGACUUUCAAAAAAAUGACUAUGCUACAGUGAAGAGACACUUGGUAUAUAUUGAAGAUAUUACAACAUUUCUGGAUUUUGUAAUAAAAUAUCGAGGGCAGGUUCCACAAAACACAUUUGUAAAGGUUGGAAUAGAUUCAGGUGGAGGAUCACUGAAAGUUAUAGUAAAUCUGUUUGAUCCAACCAAGGACAGGACAGAAGAUAACAGCUCCUUAGGAUCAUACUCAGGAGCAAAUACGUCACUUGUUUUUGCUUAUUGUAAAAGGGUAAGUGAGAAUCAUUCUAACAUGACAAUGAUUGUGGAAAGAUUAAAGUUGCAUGAAUGCAAGUACUUAUUGGCUUCUGACAUGAAGUUAAUCAACAUAUUGCUAGGAAUUUCGGCGUGUUUGUUUUAAAUAAUUUUAAGAUAAUAAGACAUAUCAUGGUAAAAGCUAUAUUAGGAAAAGGUUUUUUUUACCCUACAAUAUAUUUAUAAAUUGAAUUAUAAUAUAAAAUUUUAGGCUCAUGGAGGAAAGUAUGCUUGUGCAUGGUGUGAAGGUUCUUCAGAAUUAUUUUCUGGAGAGUUAAGAACAUUUCAAUCUUUGAAUAGUUACUAUGAACUGUAUUCAUCUGCAAGAUCUCCGGUAAAAAGAAUGAAAGAAUAUAAGAAUGUCAUUAAUCCUUGUCUGCUUAAGAUAGAAGACAAAUCCCUAAGUAUAAUAAGAGAGAUUCCAUUACCAGGACUUCACCUUCUGAUGGAAUUUGUUAACCAUGUGGCAGAAUUUGUAAUGCAACUUUGGCCUGGAUUUAUAGAUUGGGUCAAGAGCAUUGGAUGCCUUUGAAAAGGUUACCAUGGAGGAACAUUUGAAGGAAACACGUGUAGAGAGAUACUUGAAAAUUGCGACAAACUUGAGUUGAUAAUGCCUGUUGAACUGUAUCCUCUCUUAGAAACAAUGAGAAAAUUUAAUAAGGUUUUUCAUAGUGUCUUUGGCUAUAAACUUGACCCAAACUAUUCAAUUUUAAUUGAAAGUUUUACACAAAGCUAUAAGGAUGCGCAAGAUUAUUGCCGAGAGUUUUUAGGUAAACAGCUUACGCUUACUUGGAAAGUUCAUGCUGUAACAGCACAUCUGGAAAUAUUUGUUGAUUUGAGUGGCCUUUCCCUUGGGUAGUUUAAUGAGCAGACAUCUGAAUCUUGCCAUUCCAAGAUGAAAAGUGUAAUAAAUAGGUUUGGAGUCUUGCAGUACAGCAACAAACAUAAAAAAAGAAGCAAAAGAAUUGCUGAAGUGUUCAGUUCAAAUAAUUUAUAAGUUAUUGAACAUUAAUUGUACAUCAAAACAUAAACAUUAU